rnacentral:lncRNA from 1 species
UUUUAGAUUCGAUGGAUUUACAUAAAUAAUGAGAGGGAAAUAUCGCCUCAACGAUAAUCAUUUAUGAUUAUUAAUUCGUUUCAUCACACUUACAUUAGAAAAAAUUUGUGAUAACAACACCCAUGUGUCAUUUCUUUUUCUUUUAAUAACAAGUCAUUUGUAAUAAUUUAGUAUAACUUUGUUUGUAAACAUUCUUCAGAAAGUGUUAAAUCAUUCCACCAUAGUACCACUCUGAGUGGUUACAAAGAGAGUAGCUACCAUCUUCCAUCCAAUUGAUUUUCUCUUACAAGGAGAGAGCAUAAAGCUUGCAAUUACGAGAAAACACUGUAACCUAACAGUGGAUUUGGUCAACUUAAUUUUACGGGGGGCAAAAUUUAGUUGCAUUAAGCGAAGUUGAUUGUUUUUAUUUGUUUAAAAAAAUAAAAUUUAUGCUUUGAACCGCUUGAUCACGAUGAAUGCGCCAAGCCAAACAAAACUAGCAGCAUUCGCACGAGUGACAAGACUGAAGCUAUUUAUAAUGUACCGACUACCGAGUACGGGUAUAAAUAAAUAAAAAUGUCGUAAUAUUCAAUGCUCUCUUACGUAGAAGAAGUAUGGAUAAUCAAUCAUUGCACGUGUUAAGAAUUUUACACCACAGCUUUCGCCUUUUGAUAUAUUAUUUUAGGUCUGCUAAGUCUUAAAUAAACUCUCUUAGAAAACUCGAAAAAAAAAACAAACUCGAAAUUAGAAAAAAAAUUAAUUAAUUAAUCAAUGCUUACACAAUCUUUUAACAGUACGGUAAGUUUGUAAAGUUCCAACUCAUAUGCAAAGAGGGCAAAAGUCAAAACCGACAACAGAAUUCAGGGAGAACGUUAAAAAAUAAUAAUAAUAAUAAUAAUAAGAGAGCCAAUUAAUUUUGGCAGGCAGAGAAGCUCGCGUGAAAUCAAACGCAUAGGAAUGCAUCUCAAGUGGCCAGAUAGCAAAGCUUUAACUAUAGCUGGGCUUGUUUUUCAAAUAUUAAAGUUAGAAAUUUUAUUAAUUUCAGAUUUUAAAUUUUUUUUUUUGUAAUUUAUGUCUAAUUUUUAAAAAUUUAUAUCUUAGUGAAAAAAGUAAACUUAUGUAAUUUUUAUUUGAAUGCGAAAAUAUCAUAAUUAGAAGUAAAUAUUAUAUGGUAAAAACAUCUAUGUAAAAUAUACAUAGUUCCUAAAUUAUGAAACUUAAUUCCUUUUUUUUAUUUGGGGGGA